GGUGCGAAAGCGUGGGUAGCAAAAGGAUUAGAUACCCUGGUAGUCCACGCCGUAAACGAUGUCGACCAGCCGUUGGGUGCCUAGCGCACUUUGUGGCGAAGUUAACGCGAUAAGUCGACCGCCUGGGGAGUACGGCCGCAAGGUUAAAACUCAAAUGAAUUGACGGGGGCCCGCACAAGCGGUGGAGCAUGUGGUUUAAUUCGAUGCAACGCGAAGAACCUUACCUACUCUUGACAUCCUGCGAAUUUGGUAGAGAUACCUUAGUGCCUUCGGGAACGCAGAGACAGGUGCUGCAUGGCUGUCGUCAGCUCGUGUUGUGAAAUGUUGGGUUAAGUCCCGUAACGAGCGCAACCCUUGUCCUUAUUUGCCAGCGCGUAAUGGCGGGAACUCUAAGGAGACUGCCGGUGACAAACCGGAGGAAGGUGGGGACGACGUCAAGUCAUCAUGGCCCUUACGAGUGGGGCUACACACGUGCUACAAUGGUCGGUACAAAGGGUUGCCAACUCGCGAGAGUGAGCCAAUCCCGAAAAGCCGAUCUCAGUCCGGAUCGGAGUCUGCAACUCGACUCCGUGAAAGUCGGAAUCGCUAGUUAAUCGUGGAUCAGAAUGCCACGGGUGAA
rnacentral:rRNA from 1 species